rnacentral:rRNA from 1 species
UACGUAGGGUGCAGGCGUUAAUCGGAAUUACUGGGCGUAAAGCGUGCGCAGGCGGUCUGCUAAGAGAGAUGUGAAAGCCCCGGGCUUAACCUGGGAACUGCGUUUCUAACUGGCAGGCUUGAGUGUGGCAGAGGGGGGUGGAAUUCCGACGUGUAGCAGUGAAAUGCGUAGAGAUGUGGAGGAACACCGAUGGCGAAGGCAGCCCCCUGGGCUAACACUGACGCUCAUGCACGAAAGCGUGGGGAGCAAACAGG